rnacentral:rRNA from 1 species
GUCAAUGGCCAUACCGUGCUAAAAGUACCGGUACAUGUCCGAUCACUGAAGUCAAGCAGCAUCGGGCACAGCCAGUAACCAUAUACUAGUUUAUUGUUGAAC